UACGUAGGUCGCAAGCGUUGUCCGGAUUUACUGGGCGUAAAGAGCGCGCAGGCGGCUGGUCAAGUCCGAUGUGAAAUCUCCCGGCUCAACUGGGAAACUGCAUCGGAAACUGACCGGCUUGAAGGUGGGAGAGGGUAGUGGAAUUCCCGGUGUAGUGGUGAAAUGCGUAGAUAUCUGGAGGAACACCGGUGGCGAAGGCGGCAUCCUGGACCAACACUGACGCUGAGGAGCGAAAGCCAGGGGAGCAAACGGG
rnacentral:rRNA from 1 species